rnacentral:lncRNA from 1 species
AACAUCCAAAGAGGAGGAGACUCAAGACACCUUUCUACAAUUCUAUACCAAACAGUUCACAUCUGAAACCCUAUCUAUACAUGAAGAUUGUUUCCCUCCUGACUAUCUUAAGUGUAAACAAAGAUUACAAUUUUAGAUCAAAGAAGGGAACAACAUAACAGCUAAUUCGGAUAUCUCAAUUUUAAAUCAUAUAUUGUCAGUAACUAAUUGAAAUUGUAAUGAACAAAAUCAC